UACAGAGGUGGCAAGCGUUGUUCGGAAUUACUGGGCGUAAAGGGCGCGUAGGCGGCCUUCUAAGUCAGACGUGAAAUCCCCCGGCUUAACCUGGGAACUGCGUCUGAUACUGGGAGGCUUGAGUAUGGGAGAGGGAUGUAGAAUUCCAGGUGUAGCGGUGAAAUGCGUAGAGAUCGGGAGGAACAUCAGUGGCGAAGGCGGCCAUCUGGGACAACACUGACGCUGAGGCACGGAAAGCGAUGGG
rnacentral:rRNA from 1 species